GAUAUCUUGGCUUUUUAAAUUCCCGGUGAAUCUCAGCACAGCAAUCUCUAUGAUGAAUGAAAGACCCAAUUUUUUUUCCUCUCUCUGUGUAAACUGUAUCAAUUUUGUGCUUCUUUUACAGCUUCUCCUUUUCUAAUAAAGAAAAAAACAACAGAGGACCAGAAGGACCAAACCUGUUGUGACAGCAUCCCAGGAAGCUGCCUGCUGGGGAGACACAGGAGUAUGGAAAACCCGUCUGACUGUGGGAUCUCCUGCUGUAGAUCUGCAGAAAGCCAUUUCCUGACCACUUGCCUGUCGUGUAUGCGGGAUUGAAAUGGCUUUUAUUUUGCACAGGCUGAAGAUGGUGAAUUGAAACAACCAUAAUAAGAGUGGCAGCCAAAAACAAGGACAUUUACAAAGGAUAGUUAUUGCUUAGAUUAUGAAUAUCAAAUUUCUAUUGACAUGAAAAAAUUACAUCUUACAGAGAUAUUAUAAAUGUUGUCAUUCACAAUGAAGCAUAACAGAAAAGAUUUUACUCUCAGCUGCCUGUAGAAUUAAGUCACAUGAGCCAUUCUUCAGAGAAAUGUGAAGCUGAAACUUAGAAGGAUGCAAAUUUCUAUGUAUUGGUUCAACACUAGCAUGGAGAAUUGCUAUAUAGGAAAGACCAGUGGGGAAUGUAAAGUUCUCGGGGCAGAAAGAGUUUCCAGUUCCCCACUCACUUGUUCAGCUUCACUCAAUGAAGAAUGUCCCUGCCAGGUUCUGCACUUCCUGUCCACUACUCAGAAGCCUUUGGGAUCCUUGGAUGCCCAAGGCACAGGAACAACCAAGAAUAUGUUUGCUUUCUGUGUUUGGUGUGGUCCUGAUAUUUAA
rnacentral:lncRNA from 1 species